rnacentral:rRNA from 2 species
UCUUCGGGGUGAUUUUAAGUGGAUUAGUGGCGGACGGGUGAGUAACGCGUGAGUAACCUGCCUUAGAGAUGGGGAUAGCCUCUGGAAACGGAGAAUAAUACCCAAUGAUACCAAGCUAUCGCAUGGUAGCCUGGUCAAAGAUUUAUCGCUCUAAGAUGGACUUGCGUCUGAUUAGCUAGUUGGUGAGAUAAUGGCUCACCAAGGCAACGAUCAGUAGCCGGCUUGAGAGAGUGUACGGCCACAUUGGGACUGAGACACGGCCCAGACUCCUACGGGAGGCAGCAGUGGGGAAUUUUGCACAAUGGGGGAAACCCUGAUGCAGCGACGCCGCGUGAUUUAGAAGGCCUUCGGGUUGUAAAAAUCUUUUGUAUAGGAAGAAGAUGACAGUACUAUACGAAUAAGGACCGGCUAAUUACGUGCCAGCAGCCGCGGUAAUACGUAAGGUCCGAGCGUUGUCCGGAAUCAUUGGGCGUAAAGGGUACGUAGGCGGGUAAGCAAGUUAGAAGUGAAAUCCUAUAGCUCAACUAUAGUAAGCUUUUAAAACUGCUCAUCUUGAGGUAUGGAAGGGAAAGUGGAAUUCCUAGUGUAGCGGUGAAAUGCGCAGAUAUUAGGAGGAAUACCGGUGGCGAAGGCGACUUUCUGGCCAUAACCUGACGCUGAGGUACGAAAGCGUGGGUAGCAAACAGGAUUAGAUACCCUGGUAGUCCACGCCGUAAACGAUGAGUGUUGGGUGUCUGGAGUAAAUCUGGGUGCCGCAGCUAACGCAUUAAACACUC